ACGAACGCUGGCGGCGCGCCUAACACAUGCAAGUCGAACGGAGCUUAGAGAGCUUGCUUUUUAAGCUUAGUGGCGAACGGGUGAGUAACGCGUGAGUAACCUGCCCUAGAGUGGGGGACAACAGUUGGAAACGACUGCUAAUACCGCAUAAGCCCACGGUACCGCAUGGUACUGAGGGAAAAGGAUUUAUUCGCUUUAGGAUGGACUCGCGUCCAAUUAGCUAGUUGGUGAGGUAACGGCCCACCAAGGCGACGAUUGGUAGCCGGACUGAGAGGUUGAACGGCCACAUUGGGACUGAGACACGGCCCAGACUCCUACGGGAGGCAGCAGUGGGGGAUAUUGCACAAUGGGGGAAACCCUGAUGCAGCGACGCCGCGUGGAGGAAGAAGGUUUUCGGAUUGUAAACUCCUGUCGUUAGGGACGAUAAUGACGGUACCUAACAAGAAAGCACCGGCUAACUACGUGCCAGCAGCCGCGGUAAAACGUAGGGUGCAAGCGUUGUCCGGAAUUACUGGGUGUAAAGGGAGCGCAGGCGGGAAGACAAGUUGGAAGUGAAAACCAUGGGCUCAACCCAUGAAUUGCUUUCAAAACUGUUUUUCUUGAGUAGUGCAGAGGUAGAUGGAAUUCCCGGUGUAGCGGUGGAAUGCGUAGAUAUCGGGAGGAACACCAGUGGCGAAGGCGGUCUACUGGGCACCAACUGACGCUGAGGCUCGAAAGCAUGGGUAGCAAACAGGAUUAGAUACCCUGGUAGUCCAUGCCGUAAACGAUGAUUACUAGGUGUUGGGGGAUUGACCCCCUCAGUGCCGCAGUUAACACAAUAAGUAAUCCACCUGGGGAGUACGACCGCAAGGUUGAAACUCAAAGGAAUUGACGGGGGCCCGCACAAGCAGUGGAGUAUGUGGUUUAAUUCGAAGCAACGCGAAGAACCUUACCAGGUCUUGACAUCCUCUGACCUCCCUGGAGACAGGGCCUUCCCCUUCGGGGGACAGAGUGACAGGUGGUGCAUGGUUGUCGUCAGCUCGUGUCGUGAGAUGUUGGGUUAAGUCCCGCAACGAGCGCAACCCUUAUUGCCAGUUACUACGUUAAGAGGACUCUGGCGAGACUGCCGUUGACAAAACGGAGGAAGGUGGGGAUGACGUCAAAUCAUCAUGCCCUUUAUGACCUGGGCUACACACGUACUACAAUGGCGUUAAACAAAGAGAAGCAAGACCGCGAGGUGGAGCAAAACUCAAAAACAACGUCUCAGUUCAGAUUGCAGGCUGCAACUCGCCUGCAUGAAGUCGGAAUUGCUAGUAAUCGCGGAUCAGCAUGCCGCGGUGAAUACGUUCCCGGGCCUUGUACACACCGCCCGUCACACCAUGAGAGCCGGGGGGACCCGAAGUCGAUAGUCUAACCGCAAGGAGGACGUCGCCGAAGGUAAAACUGGUGAUUGGGGUG
rnacentral:rRNA from 1 species